rnacentral:rRNA from 1 species
GAUGAACGCUAGCUACAGGCUUAACACAUGCAAGUCGUGGGGCAGCAUGGGGGUUGCUUGCAAUUCCUGAUGGCGACCGGCGCACGGGUGAGUAACGCGUAUCCAACCUGGCCCAUACUCGGGAAUAGCCCGGUGAAAACCGAAUUAAUGCCCGAUAUAUAUUUAGAUGGCAUCAGAAGAGUAUGAAAGAUUUAUCGGUAAGGGAUGGCGAUGCGUAGGAUUAGGUAGUCGGCGGGGUAACGGCCCACCGAGCCUACGAUCCUUAGGGGUUCUGAGAGGAAGGUCCCCCCACAUUGGAACUGAGACACGAUCCAAACUCC